rnacentral:rRNA from 1 species
UACGGGGGGGGCAAGCGUUGUUCGGAAUUACUGGGCGUAAAGGGCGCGUAGGCGGCCUGCUAAGUCGGAUGUGAAAUCCCCCGGCUCAACCGGGGAACUGCAUCCGAUACUGGCGGGCUCGAAUCCGGGAGAGGGAUGUGGAAUUCCAGGUGUAGCGGUGAAAUGCGUAGAUAUCUGGAGGAACACCGGUGGCGAAGGCGGCAUCCUGGACCGGCAUUGACGCUGAGGCGCGAAAGCCAGGGGAGCAAAC